UAGACCGAUAGCGAACAAGUAGAGUGAUCGAAAGAUGAAAAGCACUUUGAAAAGAGAGUUAAAAAGCACGUGAAAUUGUUGAAAGGGAAGCGCUUGCGACCAGACUCGCUCGCGGGGUUCAGCCGGCAUUCGUGCCGGUGUACUUCCCCGCGGGCGGGCCAGCGUCGGUUUGGGCGGUCGGUCAAAGGCCCUCGGAAGGUAACGCCCCUAGGGGCGUCUUAUAGCCGAGGGUGCAUGCGACCUGCCUAGACCGAGGAACGCGCUUCGGCUCGGACGCUGGCAUAUGGUCUAAACGACCCGUCUUGAAACACGGACCAAGAGUA
rnacentral:rRNA from 1 species